rnacentral:piRNA from 1 species
UGUGCGCUGUCCUUUAAGUCUAGU